GACGUGGGUGGCGAACGUUAUCCGGAAUCAUUGGGCGUAAAGGGUGCGUAGAUGGCAUGAUAAGUUAUUAGUGGGAAAUCGAGGCUCAACCUCGUGGAAGCUGGUAAUACUGUUCUGCUUGAGUGCAGGAGAGGUUAACGGAACUCCAUGUGGAGCGGUAAAAUGCGUAGAUAUAUGGAAGAACAUCAAUAACGGCGAAGGCAGUUAACUAUUCUGCUACUGACAUUGAGGCACGAAAGCGUGGGGAGCAAAACGG
rnacentral:rRNA from 1 species